CAGCAGCCACGGUAAUACGUAGGGUGCGAGCGUUAAUCGGAAUUACUGGGCGUAAAGCGUGCGCAGGCGGUUGUGUAAGACAGGUGUGAAAUCCCCGGGCUUAACCUGGGAACUGCAUUUGUGACUGGCAAGCUAGAGUGUGGCAGAGGGGGGUGGAAUUCCGCGUGUAGCAGUGAAAUGCGUAGAUAUGCGGAGGAACACCGAUGGCGAAGGCAGCCCCCUGGGCCAACACUGACGCUCAUGCACGAAAGCGUGGGGAGCAAACAGGAUUAGAUACCCCCGUAGUCCCGUCUCUUAUACA
rnacentral:rRNA from 1 species